rnacentral:ribozyme from 1 species
UGCCCAGCAACUCCUAUCCCUACCUCCACGCGGUACCGGCUGUGAAUUCACUUUAAGGGG